GAUGAACGCUAGCGGCAGGCCUAAUACAUGCAAGACGAACGGUAAGUUGAGUAGCAAUACUUAGCCAAGAGUGUCGUACGGGUGCGUAACACGUAUGCAACCUACCCUAUACAGGAGGAUAGCCUAGGGAAACCUGGAUUAACCCUUCAUAGUAUUAUUGGAUGGCAUCAUUUGAUAAUUAAAACUGAGGUGGUAUAGGAUGGGCAUGCGUCUGAUUAGUUAGUUGGCGGGGUAAUGGCCCACCAAGACGAUGAUCAGUAGGGGUUCUGAGAGGAAGAUCCCCCACACUGGCACUGAGAUACGGGCCAGACUCCUACGGAGGCAGCAGUAGGGAAUAUUGGUCAAUGGAUGCAAGUCUGAACCAGCCAUGCCGCGUGCAGGAAGAAGGCCUUCUGGGUUGUAAACUGCUUUUGCCAGGGGGAUAAAAUUUCCAUGCGUGGAAAACUGAAGGUACCUGGUGAAUAAGCCACGGCUAACUACGUGCCAGCAGCCGCGGUAAU
rnacentral:rRNA from 1 species